GAUGAACGCUAGCGGCAGGCUUAAUACAUGCAAGUCAAGGGGGUAGCAAUACAACCGGCGCACGGGUGAGUAACGCGUACACAACAUACCAUAUACUGGGGUAUAGCUUUGGGAAACUGAAGGUAAUCCCCCAUAACAUUGCGAGAGGGCAUCUGAUUGCAAUUAAAGUUUCGGCGGUAUAUGAUUGGUGUGCGUUUGAUUAGCUAGUUGGUAGGGUAACGGCCUACCAAGGCGACGAUCAAUAGCUGGCGUGAGAGCGCGACCAGCCACACUGGAACUGAGACACGGUCCAGACUCCUACGGGAGGCAGCAGUAGGGAAUAUUGGACAAUGGAGGAAACUCUGAUCCAGCCAAUGCCGCGUGAUAGAUGAAGGCCCUCUGGGUUGUAAAUAUCUUUUAUCUGGGAAGAAACAAUCUUAUCUUAAGAUCUUGACGGUACCAGAGGAAUAAAGCACCGGCUAACUCCGUGCCAGCAGCCGCGGUAA
rnacentral:rRNA from 1 species